rnacentral:pre_miRNA from 1 species
CGACUACUCCCUCUGUCCCAAAUUUCUUGUCUUAGAUUUGUCUAGGUACGGAUGUAUCUAAUACUAAAAUGUGACUUGAUACAUCCGUAUCUAGACAAAUCUAAGACAAGAAUUUUGGGACGGAGGGAGUACUUU